UCCCUACGGGAGGCAGCAGUGGGGAAUAUUGCACAAUGGGGGAAACCCUGAUGCAGCGACGCCGCGUGAGUGAAGAAGUAUUUCGGUAUGUAAAGCUCUAUCAGCAGGGAAGAAAAUGACGGUACCUGACUAAGAAGCCCCGGCUAACUACGUGCCAGCAGCCGCGGUGAUACGUAGGGGGCAAGCGUUAUCCGGAUUUACUGGGUGUAAAGGGAGCGUAGACGGCUUGGCAAGUCUGAUGUGAAAGGCAGGGGCUCAACUCCUGGACUGCAUUGGAAACUGCUUGGCUUGAGUGCCGGAGAGGG
rnacentral:rRNA from 1 species